UACGUAGGUGGCAAGCGUUAUCCGGAAUCAUUGGGCGUAAAGAGGGAGCAGGCGGACGCGAAGGUCCGUAGUAAAAGCCCGAAGCUAAACUUCGGGCGGCUAUGGAAACCGCGCGCCUGGAGUGCGGAAGAGGAUCGCGGAAUUCCAUGUGUAGCGGUGAAAUGCGUAGAUAUAUGGAGGAACACCGGUGGCGAAGGCGGCGGUCUGGUCCGGCACUGACGCUCAUUCCCGAAAGCGUGGGGAGCAAAUA
rnacentral:rRNA from 2 species